AGGAGCGAGCAUUAAUAGGCAUCAUGUAAAGACCUCGACUCUCUAGCAGCUUAAUUGCUGCAGAGGGACUUGUUUCCAUCAAAUUUCCAAGCAUCUCUUCCAGUGGUCCACUAGCUGUAGCAGUCUUUUCAUCAACAAGAAAAAAAUGGCGAUUAAAUGAAAUGGGGGUUGCUUUUGGACAAAUGUAGCAGACGUUGACCUAAUUUCAUUCUUCUUCCUUCAUCUUCAACAAAGGGACAAACAUCAAAUUACAGUAUAAAACAUUGUGUGUCACACUCACUCAGUUGCAUAAAUUUGUAAAAGUUUUACAUGAUUAAGGAUUUAACUAAUUGCCGCGUCAUAUACAAACCCAUUGCAUAUUUCAUCUAAAAAAAUCACUUUUUUGCACAAACUGGGAAAAGGUGAAAUGCUGUUGCAUAAAUGCACAUUUGACCCAACAUUUAAGCAGCAUAUCCAUAUUACCUCUUUGGGCUGUGGAAGCAAAUCCUCCAAUGCAUCUAGUGAUGCUGCAAUCCUUGUUCUGCGACGCUGAAAAGAAGAAAAAAUAAUAAACUCAAAAGCAUUUUUAUUUGGACAUGGUAACAGUGAUCAGAAAAGAAAACAAAUUGGUAUUGUAUUUGUAGGUGUGAUAAUAUAAUCUGGCUAAUAUGAACCAGACUUACACGAUCUGCAUCAGUGGCCUUCUGUCUCAUAUAUGUCCUGCGUGAUGUGGUGAUGCCUGACAUGUUUGGCUUGUGUUGAGCAGCAGUAUCUAGCCCUUGCUUCUGUCAAGGAUAAUGAAAUAGCUGAAUAUGAUAUUAAUGUAAAUAUGUAAUGAUCAUAAAAAUGUAUACACAUAGAUAGAUGUGUUCAUGUCUGACAUCAUGUAGUACUAGAGACAACUUGACUUUUUUAAGUGACCUGAUAGCAUAUUUGAUGUUGUGUGUUUCUGAAA